rnacentral:rRNA from 1 species
GAUGAACGCUGGCGGCGGGCCUAAUACAUGCAAGUCGAGCGAACAGAUGAGGAGCUUGCUCCUCUUACGUUAGCGGCGGACGGGUGAGUAACACGUGUAUAACCGACAUAUAAGACUGGGAUAACUUCGGGAAACCGGAUCUAAUACCGGAUAAUAUAUAGAACCGCAUGGUUCAAUAGUGAAAGACGGUUUUGCUGUCACUUAUAGAUGGAUCCUCGCCGCAUUAGCUAGUUGGUAAGGUAACGGCUUACCAAGGCAACGAUGCGUAGCCGACCUGAGAGGGUGAUCAGCCACACUGGAACUGAGACACGGUCCAGACUCCUACGGGAGGCAGCAGUGGGGAAUAUUGGGCAAUGGGCGAAAGCCUGACGGAGCCACGCCGCGUGAGUGAUGAAGGUCUUCGGAUCGUAAAGCUCUGUUAGUAGGGAAGAACAAAUGUGAAAGUAACUCUGCACGUCUUGACGGUACCUACUCAGAAAGCACCGGCUAACUACGUG